rnacentral:lncRNA from 1 species
GAAUAUAAACAAUACCUGAAGAAAACUGACCGCAUGAUGUACGAUGAACGGAUGUGAUUGGAAGAUCCCCGGGAUCCUCAUAAAGAGGAUCCGGCGAUCAUAAAUCAUUGUAAAUUUUUUUAUUUAAAGUUGAAUAUAAACAAUACUUGACAAAAAAUGGGCGCAUGAUGUAUGAUGAACGGUUGUAAUUGGAAGAUCCCCGAGAUCCUUACAAAGAGGAUCCGCGUGAGGAUCCUCUCUCUUGGUAUUAGGUAUGAUAAACGGUUCAUAUUUUUUGUACUCAUGUUGAUUUAUAUCAUGAUUGUUAUCUUAACGGGUCGUGUCAUGUAAACUCACUUUCUUAACAAGUUUUUAACUUGUGAUCUAAUAAUGACCCGAUUCGUUGAGUGGGGCGGGUAGUUUAGUGUCAAGUUAACAAGUUAUGUAAGAAAUUGCAAUGGCUAAUGUCUAUAUCUGAUAAACAUCAUCUUAUUGGGGUUUUAACGGCCAUCCAAUAAUGACUCAACUUGUUAAUGAGCGACGAGUAAAGACCUAAAUCGUUAACUAGUUGAUGUCGAAAUCUUUUGUGUCAUUUUGUGUUUAGUUAACGAGUCUUACAAGAAAUUGUCAAACACAAUUAGUAUGUUUCUAUCGUGAUAUCAUGUGUGAAUGAUUCAUCUUGUAAAUAAAAAUUUGUAUCAUUAAAUGAAAACGUUACAGUAAUAAUGCAUUUGUCAUAAAUAUUAUGCGUGACACAAUAAAAUAAAAAAAUGAAACGCACGAGUUAGAGUGUUGGUUUUGUGUCGAAAGUCAUGAGGCUUUUAUUUUCCAUCUUAAUAAUAUAAGAGCUCGUUUAGAUGUGAUUUUAAAAUGAAUGAAAUGUUUUUAAAACCAAUCUUUAGUAAAGAUGUAAGUAAAUCAUGGAAAAACAUUUAAAGUGCUUCCUGGAAGAAGCACAUAACUGAU